AUACGUAGGGGGCGAGCGUUGUCCGGAAUGAUUGGGCGUAAAGGGCGCGUAGGCGGCCUGUUAAGUCUGGAGUGAAAGUCCUGUUUUCAAGAUGGGAAUUGCUUUGGAUACUGAUGGGCUUGAGUGCAGGAGAGGUUAUCGGAAUUCCAGGUGUAGCGGUGAAAUGCGUAGAGAUCGGGAGGAACACCAGUGGCGAAGGCGGGUAACUGGACUGCAACUGACGCUGAGGCGCGAAAGUGUGGGGAGCAAACGGGAUUAGAUACCCUGGUAGUCCACACUGUAAACGAUGAAUGCUAGGUGUAGGAGGUAUCGACCCCUUCUGUGCCGCAGUAAACACAGUAAGCAUUCCGCCUGGGGAGUACGGUCGCAAGAUUAAAACUCAAAGGAAUUGACGGGG
rnacentral:rRNA from 1 species